rnacentral:rRNA from 1 species
AACGAACGCUGGCGGCAGGCUUAACACAUGCAAGUCGAACGCCCCGCAAGGGGAGUGGCGCACGGGUGAGUAACGCGUGGGAAUAUGCCCUUCGGUUCGGAAUAACACAGGGAAACUUGUGCUAAUACCGGAUACGAUCUACGGAUGAAAGAUUUAUCGCCGAGGGAGUAGCCCGCGUAGGAUUAGCUAGUUGGUGAGGUAAUGGCUCACCAAGGCGACGAUCCUUAGCUGGUCUGAGAGGAUGAUCAGCCACACUGGGACUGAGACACGGCCCAGACUCCUACGGGAGGCAGCAGUGGGGAAUAUUGGACAAUGAGGGAAACCCUGAUCCAGCCAUGCCGCGUGAGUGAUGAAGGCCUUAGGGUUGUAAAGCUCUUUCGCCAGGGAAGAUAAUGACGGUACCUGGAAAAGAAGCCUCGGCUAACUCUGUGCCAGCCGCCGCAGUAAAAC